UUGAAAUACAUGCACUUUAAAGAGAACAGUUCUAGGUGUGAAACAACCGUUAUAUUCUAAAAGCUUAAGCUGUUAAAGAAUGGUGUUUAAAUAUUAUAUUUAACACUCCCCCUUAUGUCUGGGCUCGAGACUUUUUAGUCGACUCAUGACGUGGGCUUGAAUUAAAUGGGAGAAAAUUAAUAUGUUAGGAGUCUGGCAUGAUUCGAAUUCAGGACCUCCUGCUCUGAUACCAUGUGAAAUAAUUAAAGAACGGUGUUUAAACAUUAUAUUUAACAGUAGGGGACCAUUGCAAAAACA
rnacentral:lncRNA from 1 species